UACGAAGGGGGGCUAGCGUUGCUCGGAAUCACUGGGCGUAAAGGGCGCGUAGGCGGACUCUUAAGUCAGGGGUGAAAGCCUGAGGCUCAACCUCAGAACUGCCUUUGAUACUGAGAGUCUCGAGACCGGUAGAGGUAAGUGGAACUGCGAGUGUAGAGGUGAAAUUCGUAGAUAUUCGCAAGAACACCAGUGGCGAAGGCGGCUUACUGGACCGGUUCUGACGCUGAGGCGCGAAAGCGUGGGGAGCGAACAGG
rnacentral:rRNA from 1 species